rnacentral:ncRNA from 1 species
GCUAUUUUUAAAAAUUCUAUUCAAAUUUGGAUAAAAUGAGGCAUGUUGAAACUAGAGAAAAUUUAAGGUCUGAAAAAAGAAAAAAGCUAUUGUUAAACUAACUGCAGCUGUGUGUAUGAGGACAUGGCACUUGAGAUUCCACCUUCUGUCGAAUCCACGGUCGCAUAACGGACAAUUGUACUUCCCGUUUGGACCUCGGUUGAUAUCGUUCACAGCUAUCGGACUGAUCUUGAGGUUUUCACCUGGGAUGAUGAAUUAUUAAUUGUAAGUAUUUCCCUGAGCUUCAAUCACUGCGAUAUAAGAGAUUGUUUAUGGUUCUUUAGAAUUGGCCAGGCCUGUUCUGUUUUUUUCAUUUAAACAACCAUGUAAACAGAAUCUUUAAAGUUGUCUGAAUAGUCACUUUUUUAGCGGACCUCGUUUCUAAAAGCCGCUCUUUAAAAUGGCCAUGUAAACAGGCUGUCUGUCCCUCAGCCCACAUACAUGGUUUUUGGAGCGCGAGGUAAUGAUUAAGAGGAACAGACGAGGGCAGUCGUGCUGUGCCGUUAGAGGUGAAAUUCUUGGCGCAAGACGAACGACUGCAAAAGAAUUUGCCAAGAAUGUUUUCUUUAAUCAAGAGCAAAAGUAAGAGGUUCAAAUCACAAAAUUUGGGGUGGGAACACACAAAAAACAUCAUAUAGGAUUUGGGGUAUAAU